rnacentral:rRNA from 1 species
CCACGGAGGGUGCGAGCGUUACCCGGAUUUACUGGGCGUAAAGGGCGUGUAGGCGGCCCGUUAAGUCCGGUGUCAAAGCCCAUGGCUCAACCGUGGAAAGGCGCCGGAUACUGGCGGGCUAGACGGACGGAGGGGGUAGCGGAAUUCCCGGAGUAGCGGCGAAAUGCGUAGAUACCGGGAGGAACGCCGAUAGCGAAGGCAGCUACCUGGACGUCCCGUGACGCUGAGGCGCGAAAGCGUGGGGAGCAAACCGGAUUAGAAACCCUAGUAGUCC